UGGUGGUGGUCAUGACAACAGAGAAAAGGAGCAAUAUACUCGCCGGCCACGUACCGUGUUUAGCCAAAAUCAACUGGCAGUAUUGAUGGAUACCUUUGAGAAGAACACUCAUCCAGACACUGAUGCUAUUCAUGAAUUGGCAUCAAAACUGAAUCUUGACGAAGUGGUGAUAAAGAACUGGUUUAAGAACCAGCGGAUGAAACAGAAGAAAAUCAGGCUAAAAGUGCAAGGAGAUGCAUCACCUGGAACAUCCACACAGCAGGUUUUGGAAGAGAAGGAGCCCCCACUACAAAAUCCUGCGACGAAUGCCUCACCAAUUGCUGGAUCUUCAGAUGACGGCAACCAUGAUCCACAGGAGCCCUCUGAGAGCCACA
rnacentral:lncRNA from 1 species